UGACAUGAAUUCCUGCUUCCCGACUUGCAAGCUUUGGCUGUGUGAGGAAUCUGUUCUUUCUCUCUGCUGCAUUUGCAAGAAGCUGCAUUUGGGUUGUGAGCCAGCAAUGCUCCUGCCUCUUGGAGUGUGAGCUAAACCGGAAGUAACAGCAUAAAAGGCCACCUAGAAAUGUUGUUUUCUUUUUGGAGAGGGGAGGGGAUAAGGCAGAGGUGUUGAAAAGUCAGUGAAUUUGUGAGUGUGUCAUUGCUUUGGAUCCCUCAGCCUCACAAGACAGCUGGACACAGAGGGCUGAUUCAUAAAAGCAUCAGCCACUGCUACUUUUUGUUCAAAAGGAUCUGAUGGAUGCCUGCUAUGUCAAGGGAACACAGUAUUUUCUGUGAAGUAAGAAGGGAAUGACUUUGGCUUGUUCUAUUCUGCAGCUGCAGAGACCUUAGUGUGAGCGAUGACUCUAAGGGUAGAGAGAUGGAUGCACUCAUACAUUUAUACAGAAUGUCCCAAAAAUGUAUACAUCUUUUAACAGCUAAUAGUAUCCAUGGUGAUUAUUUGAAAGCUAAGUAAAUACAUUUAUAUUGGAGAAUAAAUGUUAUAAUUCAAUUUAGUCAGAAUUACAAAUUCCAUCUUCAAUUAUAAUUUUAUUCAAGGUGUUCAAAUUGUCACCGCUGUGUAGCAAUGCACUGCUCGCAAUGUUGAAGCACAGAGUAACAAACCUUACUUAAAAUGUAUCUCGUAAUUUAAUGACAGUUCUCUGUUAUUGACAUUUUUAAUCUUGUUAAUAGUGUAAACAUUUUGGGGACACUCAGUAUAUAAGGAGGGAGGGAGAGAGAGAGGGCGGGGGAGAGAGAAGGUUAGUUCAAUACAUCUCAGCCUUCUAAGGUCAAUUCUGUAAAUUGAUUGCCUCAAGAAGAUGGUUUUGGAUGCUAUGUAACACUGGGCAAUAAUUCUUGCUCUUGUUGUGAUGAUGUUGGAGUAUUGUGCAUUCAGUAGUGAGUGAAGCUUCCUUCAAAUAAAUAACAAACUGGUUAUUUGUUAAAACUUAGGAAGAUUGAUCCCAGUAAGGCCUGCAUCCAUCAUCAAUUGACUUGCUGGUGAAAAUGAACUCCAUCAGCCAGCCUUCUGUGACUAUGUAGAAUGGAAGACGUAGGAUUCCAAGUGAAUGGAGGACAUUGCAUGGGCCCCUUAUCACUUUGGAGUGAGACCUGAUGCCUGAUGAAUAUAGGCACAGCAUCCAUUUUUCUGCAUAAAUUAGUCUGAAGACAGUUUGCCUGCCUUCCAUUUUGCAGCCUGCAGUUGUUUCAUCCAUCUCCGAAGAACACUUGUUUACGCAGCUUCUCAUCAUAGGAAGUAAUGUGACUUCACAAGAAAUCGUCCUUUCUUCCACUGUGAAAGAAGAGUGUGUUUUUUCCCCAGGAAAUGGAUUGAGAUUCUUGGCUCCAGAAGUUAGAUUCCGCAUUGGUAUGUAUAGGCUUUAAGCGGCGUGCAAAGGUUAGAAUAAUAUGAAUUAUGUAUGUAUUAUUAUAUUAUGUGUUUUUCUUUUUAAUUUAUAUUUAUAUAUACAUUUUAUGUAGCCCUUGAAUAAGACCAUAUAUAUGUAUGUAGAUAGAUAGAUUGAGGCCAUUGCUUUCUAAACCAUAGAACAAUGAGACCACAAACAAAAUGGAUUGAAAUAUGGACCACUUUAACCUAUUACCUAUAACAACAACAACAACAACAACAACUUUAUUUUUUACCCUGCCUCCAUCUCCCCGAAGGUACUCGGGGUGGCUAAUAUGGGGCCAAGCCUAGGCAAUCACAAUAAAACAAAACAAAAUAAAAUACAUACAUGGCAAUUAUCCCUUAAGAUGUUCAAACAGGGGAGGGGGGGCAACCUAGUGUGCAAGCAACUCAGGCAGUUGGUCUCUCCCAGACUUUCUUCCCCUGGAUAAAAACACCUAAGCUUUGAAAUAAACACUUUCAAAAUGUGCUUUGCUUCCAGGCUAGCCAACUUCUGCAAGGUCAACGCAAGGGGCCCUACCCUCAAGUCACAUGCCUUCUUGUGAGGGCAAAACUUGGAGGCCCUCUUCAAAGAUAGUCUAUUUCCCAUCUUUCUGCUCUCGUGAUGCACAGGGGCAGUUCUAGAGUCCUAACCCUCAUCAAAUGCAUGUCAAAGAUGCUCACUGGAUUCCUGAUUUCACCCC